CUGGCGGCAUGCUUUACACAUGCAAGUCGAACGGUAACAGGGAGCUUGCUCCGCUGACGAGUGGCGAACGGGUGAGUAAUGCAUCGGAACGUACCCAGUCGUGGGGGAUAACGUAGCGAAAGUUACGCUAAUACCGCAUACGAUCUAUGGAUGAAAGCGGGGGACCGUAAGGCCUCGCGCGAUUGGAGCGGCCGAUAUCAGAUUAGGUAGUUGGUGGGGUAAAGGCUCACCAAGCCAACGAUCUGUAGCUGGUCUGAGAGGACGACCAGCCACACUGGAACUGAGACACGGUCCAGACUCCUACGGGAGGCAGCAGUGGGGAAUUUUGGACAAUGGACGCAAGUCUGAUCCAGCCAUUCCGCGUGCAGGAUGAAGGCCCUCGGGUUGUAAACUGCUUUUGUACGGAACGAAGAGGUUUCUCUUAAUACGAGGAGCUCAUGACGGUACCGUAAGAAUAAGCACCGGCUAACUACGUG
rnacentral:rRNA from 1 species